CCUCGCCGCAUGGGAGGAGGGCAUCGCCUUCGUGGGGGACCCUGGGCGCUACUUGCCUGGGCCACCGGCCGCGCGUCCGACGCCUCCAAGUGCCGCAGCUGCAGCUCGCUUCCGUGCUCGCAGGGGUAUUCCUCCCCGGCUGACCUCGACGAUGUACCGGAGUCCUCGAUGAUUUGUUCUGGAGCUCGGAUGUGGAGCCGUUUAGUUUCAUCGAGGAUCUUCAGCAUUGGCAUGGAUCUGCUGCCACAGAGACCGAGGCCAAGGCUGUCAUUUCCUUCAUGGUUGGCUACUGAUGAAGGCUAUCCUGAACGUAGUUUACAUUGUUGAUUACUUGCUGACCGCAUAGCAAAAUAUUACAUAGUGCAAGCUAGCCAUGAAAUUGUUGAUCAAUGCCCGUGGGAAUCCUUCUCAGAUUGGCAAGGAUUAGAAGGACUUGGAAUUGAUUCAAUUUGUUGAUAUUAAAACAUGCAUUAAGAGACAAGACGAUGGCGUACAACUGUGAUAGAUUGCUUACCUUUCAAGCGUUUAUGCUCUUGCUCUCUACUAACAAUAUUUACGCAUGUUUCAUGGUAUAUAUUCUUUUUUCUUGGGUAAGCAUGUGUUUUAAAUUAUUUGCAGUGUUUUGCAGCAAUGAAAUAUUCUAUGAG